GCGUUGACGUUGCACGGUGACGUCACCAUGCGUAGACGGAAGGAGAGAGAGCCGGUGUUGAUGCGUUGCCCUGACGACCGGCAUCUGCUCUGGCAAGCUGCUCGCUCCAUUCACUUGUCACCCGAGACCCAACCACAACCCCCAUGGCCUGCAGGAGGCUGGAGAAGCCUCAACUUCCUGAAGCGAAGAUCUGUUUAUGGGAGGAUCUAACUUUCAGUGGCAUGGACAAGAUCGAGCAAACCACCAGCCUCGAUGAACUGAAGGA